AACGAACGCUGGCGGCAGGCCUAAUACAUGCAAGUCGAACGGAUGUAGCAAUACAUUAGUGGCGCACGGGUGCCUAACGCGUGGGAACAUACCCUUGAGUAAGGAAUAAUGUCUGGAAACGGACACUAAUACCUUAUAAUGACUUCGGUCCAAAGAUUUAUCGCUCAAGGAUUGGCCCGCGUCUGAUUAGCUAGUUGGUGAGGUAACGGCUCACCAAGGCGACGAUCAGUAGCUGGUCUGAGAGGAUGAUCAGCCACACUGGGACUGAGACACGGCCCAGACUCCGACGGGAGGCAGCAGUAAGGAAUAUUGGUCAAUGGAGGAAACUCUGAUCCAGCCAUGCCGCGUGAGUGAAGAAGGCCUUAGGGUUGUAAAGCUCUUUCAAUGGUGAAGAUAAGGACGGUAGCCAUAGAAGAAGCCCCGGCUAAAUUCGUGCCAGCAGCCGCCGUAA
rnacentral:rRNA from 1 species